GAGUUUGAUCAUGGCUCAGAUUGAACGCUGGCGGCAGGCUUAACACAUGCAAGUCGAACGAUGAUUACUAGCUUGCUAGUAUGAUUAGUGGCGAACGGGUGAGUAAUGCUUAGGAAUCUGCCUAUUAGUGGGGGACAACAUUCCGAAAGGAAUGCUAAUACCGCAUACGUCCUACGGGAGAAAGCAGGGGAUCGCAAGACCUUGCGCUAAUAGAUGAGCCUAAGUCGGAUUAGCUAGUUGGUGGGGUAAAGGCCUACCAAGGCGACGAUCUGUAGCUGGUCUGAGAGGAUGAUCAGCCACACUGGGACUGAGACACGGCCCAGACUCCUACGGGAGGCAGCAGUGGGGAAUAUUGGACAAUGGGCGAAAGCCUGAUCCAGCCAUGCCGCGUGUGUGAAGAAGGCCUUUUGGUNGUAAAGCACUUUAAGUGGGGAGGAAAAGCUAAUAAUUAAUACCUAUAGCCCUGACGUA
rnacentral:rRNA from 1 species